rnacentral:lncRNA from 1 species
UCGUUCGAGCACUCCAUUCUUGUUGAGGCAGAGAACUGACUUGAGCGUCGGAGGGUCUUACCGGAGCACCCCCAACUCCAGUUUAGACUUCCUUUACAGGUCCCGACGGAGACCGCGACUCCCUCGACUCCAGCUUCUCCAACGCCGAUGGAUUUUUGCACCAACAGGAUUGACGCUAGAGGAAGGGCGUCUGUGUCUUCGCAGUACCCUUAUUCUUAAAGGAGCGUUCAACGGGACCGCCUUCGGUCAUCUUCUUCGACAUCCUCUUCUCCUUCCUCUACCAGAUCUUCACCUGAUGCCUCCCCGCAAAGCAUCCAUCCGACGAUCCACAACCUCCGCAGCCAGAUCUUCACCUGAUCACCUCCAAUUUCCCAGGCUCCUCCUCCUCCUCCGACAACGGCGGUUGGCGCAGAGCAAUUCGACCUGCUGGUUCAGCAGGUCAGAGGCCUCACUGAAGCGGUACAGGCCAUGCAGCAGCAGCAAC